UUUCCGUAGGUGAACCUGCGGAAGGAUCAUUCAUAAUAAAGUGUUUUAUGGCACUUUUUAAAAAUCCAUAUCCACCUUGUGUGCAAUGUUAGAUCUCGUCAAUCUUGGCGAGAUUUUUAUACAUCAACUCAUUCUUUAACUAAUUUGUCUGAAAAAUAUUAUGAAUACUUAAUUCAAAAUACGACUUUCAACAACGGAUCUCUUGGCUCUCGCAUCGAUGAAGAACGCGGC
rnacentral:misc_RNA from 1 species